rfam:Rattus norvegicus chromosome 3, whole genome shotgun sequence.
GGGGAUUUAGCUCAGCGGUAGAGCGCUUGCCUAGCAAGCGCAAGGCCCUGGGUUCGGUCCCCAGCUCCA